CAGAGGCCGGCCAAUUGCACAUCUCGAAGGCUGUCCAGAGCACCUUUAUUGAGGUCAAUGAGGAGGGGAGCGAGGCAGCAGCCGCCACAGGUGGUGCAGCAGCGGUCAUCAUGAGCUUGCAGGGUCAUCGCUUUUUGGCUGACCAUCCCUUUCUCUUCCUUAUACGACACAGGCUUACGGGAGCCCUGCUGUUUGUUGGGCGCGUGCUGCAGCCGGAGCUGCUGGAGACCAGAGGACGCGACGCGCAGGCCCUCUGAGGCUCACUAAUAACUCUAAUGACCCACAUUAAAAAACACUUACCCGCAAAACGCCCCCCCGCCAAAGAAAAAGUGUGUGUUUGCAGAACGGAAAAGGCUUUGAAUUUCUCCAUUUCUUGGUUUCUCUCUGUUCUUUUUUUACUGUAGUCUCUCUCUUCCGGCUCCCCCGCACUCUGCCUUUUCCCUGCCAUCUACCUCUUCACCUCCUCCCACCCCUCUUCUUUUAUUAAUAAUGCCGCAGUUGUCUGUGUUAA